CCCCCCCCCCCCCCCCCCCCCCCAAGAUGUCACAUCAGCAUCCAGCUCAGCAGGAUCAGACAAUACUGAAAACAAACUGCGUGGCGAGCUGUGAACUGGGAAGCGGAUAUUCUUCGAAGGGACACCCUAGAGGCAGCAAGGUGGUUGAACUCCAAACAUUUAAAUGCACUGUUUUUCUCCCUAGAAAAUGGCUGUCUUUGCCUCUUUUGAGGAGCGGGGGUAAAGCCAUUUUUGAGCAGUGGUCAAACCUUGUUUUUGUCUGCUGUGUUGAAACAAUUGUUGUUUAGUAAAGAUGAUGUAGAAAUCACCCGAGUCUCUGAUCUCUUUACUGGAGCUGGUAUAACUUAAUGUACAAAGCUUGUCAGUAUGUUUAUAUGGUAUUAUAUGCGGCUGAUUCCCUGAUCCACUUCUACGCAGAC